rnacentral:rRNA from 1 species
CCUACGGCGUGCAGCAGUGGGGAAUAUUGGACAAUGGGCGAAAGCCUGAUCCAGCCAUGCCGCGUGUGUGAAGAAGGCCUUCGGGUUGUAAAGCACUUUCAGUGGGGAAGAAAGCCUUGGGGCUAAUACCCUCGAGGAAGGACAUCACCCACAGAAGAAGCACCGGCUAACUCCGUGCCAGCAGCCGCGGUAAUACGGAGGGUGCGAGCGUUAAUCGGAAUUACUGGGCGUAAAGCGCGCGUAGGCGGUCUGAUAAGCCGGUUGUGAAAGCCCCGGGCUCAACCUGGGAACGGCAUCCGGACCUGUCAGGCUAGAGUGCAGGAGAGGAAGGUAGAAUUCCCGGUGUAGCGGUGAAAUGCGUAGAGAUCGGGAGGAAUACCAGUGGCGAAGGCGGCCUUCUGGACUGACACUGACGCUGAGGUGCGAAAGCGUGGGUAGCAAACAGGAUUAGAUACCCCUGUAGUC